CAAUGCUGUGAAACGUUAUCCUUCUGGUCUUGUGGUUUGUUUAUUAUUGUGUAUUGCAUACUACUCAGCAACUUACAGUGUCGAGUAAUUGGCAACGAGUUUCCCAGUUGUUAGUUCAAAUUAGUGAGGCCCUGAUGACACAGAGAAUGGUGACACCUGGCUGUGGAGAAAGUUUCAGUCUGACCCUUGAUGCAGUCAGAACAGUGGUUCACUUUAUUCAUAUUUUUCGGAAAGCGAUCCAGAGACAGAACAGUUACAUAACAGUAUCAACUCCAUGUGACUGUGUCUUUUGCAAUCAGAGAAUGUUCUUUUCAUUUGGAUCUACAGCUUCCUAUUGAUGGAAUAUAGUGAUAUUUUAAAUCACCUUGACUUUCUUUAGCCUUUUGCUCUCUUGAGCCAUGUGUCGCACCUUAAAUCCUAGACACUGCUCUCUUUGUGCGGGUCCCAGCCAUUUCUUUUGCUCCACUUGGGCUUGGUGCAGUGGGUGUUCGGGAUCACUGGCUCCAUUGUUGACACAGUUUCACCAGAAACGUGGGAGUCAGGGGACUGAGUCAACAGCAGCAAACAAAACUUAGUGUCGGAAACGCAAAGCAAAAUGUCAUAUUGGUCCAGGGAACAUGAGGGGCUAGAAGCAAUUAAAAGGCUCUUGUUGGGAAAGCAGCAGGUGUCUCUGACAAGACCUGUCAGCCCUUGCAGAGCUUGCUCUCUCCCUCCCUUUUCACACCAUUGUUUUUCCAUCUUUCAUCCCACGUAGAAGUUACCUGGCAUCAGCACUUGGCAGCUGCGGCCAUUUCACCGCUAUUCCCCUUCAUUUCAGACCCAUCGCUUCAUGACACCACCUUGAUCGUAGGACUCCCAGUUUCUCCUCAUCACUGCAGGCAAACAUGAAGAGGCAGAACUGAUGAGAACAAUGGGGCAAAGGGAAUAGCAGCCAGCCAAGCUGCAACUCAUUAGGACAGCAAUUUUCCCCCAAGCCAGGUCAUGUUUUCUAGACCUUUAAUCAUUUUUGUUGCUGUCCUCUGGACUUCCUCCAGUCUGUGUACCUCUUUUCCUGAAGUCUGGUGUCCAGAACUGGGCACCACAUCCCAGCUGAGGCCUUACCAGCACGGAGUUGAGAGGAAGAAUUACUUCUCCUGGGUUGCUUACAACACUCCUGCUACUACAUCCCAGAUUGAUGUUUGCUUUCUUUGCACCAGUGUUACACUGUUGACUCAUCGUUAUUUUAUGAUCCACUAUAACCACCAGAUCCUUUUCUGCAGUAUGCCUUCCGAGGGCAUCCUUUCCCACUUUGUAUUUGUACAAUUGAUUAAUCCUUUGUAAGUGAUGUGUAGUACUUUGCAUUUGUCCUUAUUGAAUUUCUCCAGUCUGCUAAGACCACUUUGAAUUCUAAUCAUGUCCUCCAGCUUGCAUCCUCUCCCAGCUUGGUAUCCUCUGCAAACAGUGUACUUUCUAUGCCAUUAUACACAAUUUCUGAAGAUAUUGAAUAGAAUUGGACCCAGGCCAGAUCCCUGCACAUCCCCACUUGAUAUGCCCUUCCAGCUUGACUGAGAAUCAUUGAUGAUUACUCUGUGUCCGGUUUUCCAACCAAUCAUGCACCCACCUUAUGCUAGGUUAGUCUAGGCCAUUUUCCCUAGUUUGUUUAUGAGAAGGUCAUGUGAGACUAUCAAACGCCUUACUAAAGUUGAGAUAUACUACUUUUA